rnacentral:rRNA from 1 species
AUUGAACGCUGGUGGCAGGCCUAACACAUGCAAGUCGAGCGAGCGGCGGACGGGUGAGUAAUGCAUAGGAAUCUGCCUGAUGGAGGGGGAUAACUACUGGAAACGGUAGCUAAUACCGCAUACCAUCAGAUGUGCCCAGAUGGGAUUCGCUAGUAGGUGGGGUAACGGCUCACCUAGGCGACGAUCCCUCGCUGGUCUGAGAGGAUGACCAGCCACACUGGAACUGAGACACGGUCCAGACUCCUACGGGAGGCAGCAGUGGGGAAUAUUGCACAAUGGGCGCAAGCCUGAUGCAGCCAUGCCGCGUGUAUGAAGAAGGCCUUCGGGUUGUAAAGUACUUUCAGCGGGGAGGCGUUACCCGCAGAAGAAGCACCGGCUAACUCCGUGCCAGCAGCCGCGGUAAUAC